rnacentral:lncRNA from 1 species
CAAACAGUGACUCACCUAGGGUACAUAAGUUGCGUAGAAAACCCAAUUUGGUCAUGGACUCAUGGCAGCCUUGGAGUUGGGGUAUCACCGCUCUCAUCAUGCUUUGUUCUGUGCUAUAAACAGAAACAGAAUAGCAGACUGAGAUACCAUUUCAAGUUUUCCUUUUAAUAUUGUUUCUAAUUUUAUAGAAUUAAUUUUUUUUUUCUUGUUUGAUACAUAGCGUGAAGAUUGUAUUAACAUUGAUAAUAUAAUUAAUAUUUUUUUCUUGUUUAAUCUUUAUACAAAAAUUACGGUAUCAAUUAUGCGAAAAGCCUUGACAAACGCAGCCAACAUACUUUAUA